rnacentral:rRNA from 1 species
GAUGAACGCUGGCGGUCUGCUUAACACAUGCAAGUCGAGCGCGCCCUUCGGGGUGAGCGGCGGACGGGUUAGUAACGCGUGGGAAUAUACCCGACACUAAGGAAUAGCCUCUGGAAACGGAGAGUAAUACCUUAUACGCCCUUCGGGGAAAGAUUUAUCGGUGACGGAUUAGCCCGCGUUAGAUUAGAUAGUUGGUGGGGUAAUGGCCUACCAAGUCUACGAUCUAUAGCUGGUUUUUAGAGGAUGAUCAGCAACACUAGGGACUGAGACACGGCCCAGACUCCUACGGGAGGCAGCAGU